AGAGCAUUUGAUGGUAACAGGAAUUUGUUGCACAAGAUCACUAGACUUUCACGGUUUCACCUAAGGCAAAGAUAAGCUCUUUAUUAGUUCUCUUGACAAAAGUCUAUGGCGUAAAUCACCAUGGGUAGGUACAAUGAGAUUAUCAGGGUGGUGUUUACUUGAAGAAGUUUGGAUACGACACUUGAAAAGUAAUUGAGGUUCCUGACUAGAUCAGCGAGCCCAAGCGGCCCUCAGACAAGCCCCUCCGUCUUACACUCCAGGAUAUUUAAUGGUUGUAUUGGAACGAUUUGAACCAAUGACUCUCGCCGUAUGGAAGCGAUACUCUAACCGGUGUCAGUGGGUCGUGUGGAGCCUGGGUACGGUUGUGACCUUUGCACUCUGGCCAGCAUGUCGGAUAUGAUCACAGACGGAUGUGACGGAUUUAUUAAGAUACAAAAGCGGAUAAAAUGAGCAGAGAGUCAUGCGUUUGUGGAGUAACUGUAUGGAUGGGAGCACUUUAGAAAAGGAGGCCACAGUGGAUCUGUAUUUGUACAGCACAAGGAGCAACUUUUGGACAUCACUCUUCCAAAUAUCCUUCACUUGCAAAUAAAUGACGGUCAAAAUAUGUUUAAUCAAGAUUUGUUGUCAUAAAAAAAUUAAACGUAUUUAUUACGUAACUGUAAUUGGUCAUAUACGUUCUCUUCUGAUGAAGUUAGGAGAGGUAUAAGAACUAAAGGAGGAAGAGGAUGUAUUAAGGUUCCCAAUAAUAAAGAUACUAUACUUUGAUCCAA